rnacentral:rRNA from 1 species
CCUACGGGAGGCAGCAGUGGGGAAUAUUGGGCAAUGGGCGCAAGCCUGACCCAGCAACGCCGCGUGAAUGAAGAAGGCUUUCGGGUUGUAAACUUCUUUUCUCAGGGACGAAGAAAGUGACGGUACCUGAGGAAUAAGCCACGGCUAACUACGUGCCAGCAGCCGCGGUACUACGUAGGUGGCAAGCGUUAACCGGAUUUACUGGGUGUAAAGGGCGUGUAGGCGGGAAAGCAAGUCAGAUGUGAAAACCAUGGGCUCAACCUGUGGCCUGCAUUUGAAACUGUUUAUCUUGAGUACUGUAGAGGCAGACGGAAUUCCUGGUGUAGCGGUGAAAUGCGUAGAUAUUAGGAGGAACACCAGUGGCGAAGGCGGUCUGCUGGAC